rnacentral:rRNA from 1 species
GCGUGCUUAACACAUGCAAGUCGAACGGAAAGGUCUCUUCGGAGAUACUCGAGUGGCGAACGGGUGAGUAACACGUGGGCAAUCUGCCCUGCACUUCGGGAUAAGCCUGGGAAACUGGGUCUAAUACCGGAUAUGACCUCGAGGCGCAUGCCUUGUGGUGGAAAGCUUUUGCGGUGUGGGAUGGGCCCGCGGCCUAUCAGCUUGUUGGUGGGGUGAUGGCCUACCAAGGCGACGACGGGUAGCCGGCCUGAGAGGGUGUCCGGCCACACUGGGACUGAGAUACGGCCCAGACUCCUACGGGAGGCAGCAGUGGGGAAUAUUGCACAAUGGGCGCAAGCCUGAUGCAGCGACGCCGCGUGGGGGAUGACGGCCUUCGGGUUGUAAACCUCUUUCACCAUCGACGAAGGUCCGGGGUUUCUCGGAUUGACGGUAGGUGGAGAAGAAGCACCGGCCAACUACGUGCCAGCAGCCGCGGUAAUACGUAGGGUGCGAGCGUUGUCCGGAAUUACUGGGCGUAAAGAGCUCGUAGGGG